ACAUCCGGGUUUCAGUGUGUCCCAUCGAAAUCGGCAAAUCGGACACAUGUUGAUCAUGUUUACAAAGUGAAGUUGAGGAUUUUCUCACCAUACAAGCCGUAUGUAAACAUGCACGGACAUUUUAUCUGCAGCUCAAAGUACUCUAUCAAUCCUCUGGAGCAUUAUUCUAAGCAAAAUUAUCCGAUUUAUAUAUUCUUGUGUGAAUUGUUUACGAGGAAAUUCCGACUGUCACAGUAAUAAACAAGGAUGAACACUCUUGACUCUGUUUCGGAUUCCCCAGUGAUAAUUGUAUCGAAUGAUUAAAGAGCUGACGGUUACAUUUUAAUUUAUGAUUGGCGUGGACCAUGGGAAUGAAUUCGAAGUCAUUUUAUGAUGCCACCACUUGGGAUAGUAAGCUGCAAAUAUAGACUUCAGCACUUAUUGCCUUUGAGAAGUAAGGGAUCCUUUUCGUGCCAACACCCACACCUACUGUGACACAGAAUCUUGGUUUAUACAGUCUCUUUGGAGUAACCUGUCUCUAGCAUUUAGCAGUGUGACUGUCAUCUGAGUACUGAAAUUUGAUGCCAAGCAUGAUCAUGAUUUGCCAGAAGAGCCUCUUUUGGGAGAUGACAAAAAAUAAACAGCAGAAUGAAAUUGAAACAAUCAACUGAAUCAAGUCUCAGUUGAAGAAGAUGAUUUUAAAUAUAUCAUAUUUAAAUUUUGAUUUGAGAAACAGACAUAAAUCCAAAAAUAUGAUUAUAUCAAUUGCUUUCAGUUUUUCAAGAUAAAUAAAUUUUGUUGCAAAAUCUAAUAUGUUUAAUUUGGAAUAAAUGUUCUUUUAAAUAUUUGUCAGAUCUUGCAUGUUUACAUCUGUAUUGAGGUCUUCCGCUUCCAAGGGAAGACAUACCAAUUCUAAUGGUAAAGAUGAUAGAGGUCUGUCUUCAGUGGCAAUAUAUAAGAUCUAAUAUGUGUAUUUUUACAGUAUAAUUGAAGGAACAUUGCUAUCUUGGCAUAAACAACUAAAGCAUUAACAAAUGUGCAUGAUUCAGAACAAAGGACAUGUUAUUUCAAACACAAGAUCAAAGAGAUGUCCAGUCACAUUUCAAAGUCAACAAAGCACAAAAUCUGUUUACAGUUUAGCUCAUAUGAGCUAAAGCUGUAGUAAAAUUUUGAAAAUU